AGUGCCGCCCCCUUUCUCGGGAAGGGAGAAUCCGCCGCCGCUGGCCAGAAGGGGGAAAGCCGAGGCGAGACAACCUCCCGUUGAUCAUUCGCUUAGAAAACUUCCCGGGGCAGGACCCCGGUAUGGGCCCCCCCAAUAUUUUUUAUAAGUCGGCGCCCCUGUACCUUGUCUGUGCUUUCCUGAUCAACACAAAAACAUGAAUGGGUCUGAUCCAUUCUUCACAUUCUGACGUUCCUGUUUCUCUUUUCUCACGGACAGGGAAUUGAUUUCGACGAGGAUCAAAUAUCGGAAAUCAGCCUGGAAGAUGGGGAGGAUCUUCCUCCAAGCAUCCCAACCACAGCUUCUCCGGAUGCGGCUGAUCUUCCUCCUGAAAGCGUCAGCAAGGACCAGCUGAAGGACAGACUUACGGAUGUCGUCGCAACGAUGAAGAGUGGGAAGAUCCGAAGGAAGGCGCUUCAAGAUCUUUCCACCCUCCUGCAGAAGAUCCAGGAAUAUCCAUCGGUAGCGCUUCCUGCAUCCUCCCUUGGCCAACUGGUGGCGAUUUCCUGACUUUGUGCAUUGGAUCCAGACCCAGAAAGCAGGCAGCGGGCAGCAGAGGCCCUCUGCCAUCUUUUGCCCAUCCUGCGGCGCAACGAAGAGACGCUGGCACGAACGUCAAGGUCACAAACCAAACACUCAUCAUCAGAGCUCAGAAGGUCCUCAAUUCCACCAGAGCUGGUGAGGAGGCUGCUGUGUUCACAGGGAACCUUACCCACAGGACUUCCUGAGCUGCAUGCCAGAACAUCCGCAGUAGCGCAUCAGAGUUGUGCUGCAGAGAUACCAUCUUCUGCUCUCCGCGGGAUCCAGUCUGGACCAGCGCCAGGAACAUGAACGCCAUCAGGAUCGAUGAAGAGGAGUGGUGCUGCCCUCACGACCCUCCGUACACAGCGCACGAUGGGAAACAGCGGCCUAUCAGCUGGAGCCUGGGAGGAGAUGUCUGGAGAAAAGAAGGGCCCUGCAAGAAUGUCAUCAGCCGGGAAAGGAGCAGCCCUGAAGACGACACCUGCAACACCAACCCUCCACCUGGCAGUGAAUUUGAGGACUGGACACUUUUUAUUGACUCUUUGGGGACUUAAAACAGCAAGCAGGACUUUUUUUAGUAACAUGGAUAGGUUAAAAUGGAUGUCUCGAAUAGUAUAGGCAAAAUAUUUAGCAUUCAAGGGUAGAUAACACUAUACUAGAUAGCAUUUUGUAUAUUAUUUUUUCCCCUUCUUUUUUAUAAUUAUCUUUGUUGUUUUCCCCCUCCCUUCCCCUCUUCCCA